rnacentral:rRNA from 1 species
GACCUGGCCGGGUGGUCCGCCUAACGGUGUGUACUGCUUGGCUGGGCCUUACCUCUUGGUGAGCCGGCGUGCCCUUCACUGGGUGCGUCGGGGAACCAGGACUUUUACCUUGAGAAAAUUAGAGUGUUCAAAGCAGGCCUACGCCCGAAUACAUUAGCAUGGAAUAAUAAAAUAGGACGU